CCUACGGGUGGCUGCAGUGGGGAAUAUUGCACAAUGGGCGCAAGCCUGAUGCAGCCAUGCCGCGUGUGUGAAGAAGGCCUUCGGGUUGUAAAGCACUUUCAGCGGGGAGGAAGGCGGUGAGGUUAAUAACCUCAUCGAUUGACGUUACCCGCAGAAGAAGCACCGGCUAACUUCGUGCCAGCAGCCGCGGUAAUACGGAGGGUGCAAGCGUUAAUCGGAAUUACUGGGCGUAAAGCGCACGCAGGCGGUCUGUCAAGUCGGAUGUGAAAUCCCCGGGCUCAACCUGGGAACUGCAUUCGAAACUGGCAGGCUAGAGUCUUGUAGAGGGGGGUAGAAUUCCAGGUGUAGCGGUGAAAUGCGUAGAGAUCUGGAGGAAUACCGGUGGCGAAGGCGGCCCCCUGGACAAAGACUGACGCUCAGGUGCGAAAGCGUGGGGAGCAAACAGGAUUAGAUACCCCAGUAGUC
rnacentral:rRNA from 1 species